rnacentral:rRNA from 1 species
AGUGGACGCUGGCGGUAGGCCUAACACAUGCAAGUCGAACGGCAGCACAGUAAGAGCUUGCUCUUACGGGUGGCGAGUGGCGGACGGGUGAGGAAUACAUCGGAAUCUACUUUUUCGUGGGGGAUAACGUAGGGAAACUUACGCUAAUACCGCAUACGACCUACGGGUGAAAGCAGGGGAUCUUCGGACCUUGCGCGAUUGAAUGAGCCGAUGUCGGAUUAGCUAGUUGGCGGGGUAAAGGCCCACCAAGGCGACGAUCCGUAGCUGGUCUGAGAGGAUGAUCAGCGACACUGGAACUGGGACACGGUCCAGACUCCUACGGGAGGCAGCAGUGGGGAAUAUUGGACAAUGGGCGCAAGCCUGAUCCAGCCAGACCGCGUGGGUGAAGAAGGCCUUCGGGUUGUAAAGCCCUUUUGUUGGGAAAGAAAAGCAGCAGGUUAAUACCCCGCUGUUCUGACGGUACCCAAAGAAUAAGCACCGGCUAACUUCGUG